rnacentral:rRNA from 1 species
UACGUAGGGUGCAAGCGUUAAUCGGAAUUACUGGGCGUAAAGCGUGCGCAGGCGGUUCGGAAAGAAAGAUGUGAAAUCCCAGAGCUUAACUUUGGAACUGCAUUUUUAACUACCGGGCUAGAGUGUGUCAGAGGGAGGUGGAAUUCCGCGUGUAGCAGUGAAAUGCGUAGAUAUGCGGAGGAACACCGAUGGCGAAGGCAGCCUCCUGGGAUAACACUGACGCUCAUGCACGAAAGCGUG